CUUAAACUCAAUUUCCCGAGAGAAAACAUUCUCCGAGAGAGACAUAACCCCAAUUGUUACAAUAUGUCAUUUUGACAACACAAGCAGUCAGAUAUGUAUGUAUCACAAUUCAAGGUUUAUAAAUUACGUCAAACAGUCUAAAGCAGGAUUCAGAUGCAUAUUUAGGAUGCAAUGACAAGGGAAGCAUCCCAUCCAUAUGCCAUAAGGACAGCUCAUAUAACCUCAAAGAGGACAUCACUCACCGCCGCAAUACUAAUGUCAAAAGUCUGUUAUUACAGGAAAGAUUAUAAAUUUUUGUAUAUUCAAGAUGUAUGCACAGAAUGAUAUAAAUUCUAAUUAGAAGGUA